rnacentral:rRNA from 1 species
GGGUCAGUAGGUUGGUCGUGCCACCGGUACGUACUGGUCUCACUGAUUCCUCCUUCCUGAAGAACCGUAAUGACAUUAAUUUGGUGUUGCGGGGAAACAGGACUGUUACUUUGAAAAAAUUAGUGUGUUUAAAGCAAGCUAACGCUUGAAUACAUUAGCAUGGAAUAAUGAAAUAGGACGAUCGAUCCUAUUUUGUUGGCUUCUAGGAUUGACGUA